rnacentral:rRNA from 2 species
GGGUUGUGAGGUUAAGCGACUAAGCGUACACGGUGGAUGCCCUGGCAGUCAGAGGCGAUGAAGGGCGUACUAAUCUGCGAUAAGCGCCGGUAAGGUGAUAUGAACCGUUAUAACCGGCGAUACCCGAAUGGGGAAACCCAGUGUGAUUCGUCACACUAUCAUUAACUGAAUCCAUAGGUUAAUGAGGCGAACCGGGGGAACUGAAACAUCUAAGUACCCCGAGGAAAAGAAAUCAACCGAGAUUCCCCCAGUAGCGGCGAGCGAACGGGGAGGAGCCCAGAGCCUGAAUCAGCAUGUGUGUUAGUGGAAGCGUCUGGAAAGGCGCGCGAUACAGGGUGACAGCCCCGUACACAAAAGCGCAUGUGCUGUGAGCUCGAUGAGUAGGGCGGGACACGUGGUAUCCUGUCUGAAUAUGGGGGGACCAUCCUCCAAGGCUAAAUACUCCUGACUGACCGAUAGUGAACCAGUACCGUGAGGGAAAGGCGAAAAGAACCCCGGCGAGGGGAGUGAAAAAGAACCUGAAACCGUGUACGUACAAGCAGUGGGAGCACCCUUUGGGUGUGACUGCGUACCUUUUGUAUAAUGGGUCAGCGACUUAUAUUCUGUAGCAAGGUUAACCGAAUAGGGGAGCCGGAGGGAAACCGAGUCUUAAUUGGGCGUUAAGUUGCAGGGUAUAGACCCGAAACCCGGUGAUCUAGCCAUGGGCAGGUUGAAGGUUGGGUAACACUAACUGGAGGACCGAACCGACUAAUGUUGAAAAAUUAGCGGAUGACCUGUGGCUGGGGGUGAAAGGCCAAUCAAACCGGGAGAUAGCUGGUUCUCCCCGAAAGCUAUUUAGGUAGCGCCUCGUGAAUUCAUCUCCGGGGGUAGAGCACUGUUUCGGCUAGGGGGCCAUCCCGGCUUACCAACCCGAUGCAAACUGCGAAUACCGGAGAAUGUUAUCACGGGAGACACACGGCGGGUGCUAACGUCCGUCGUGAAGAGGGAAACAACCCAGACCGCCAGCUAAGGUCCCAAAGUCAUGGUUAAGUGGGAAACGAUGUGGGAAGGCCCAGACAGCCAGGAUGUUGGCUUAGAAGCAGCCAUCAUUUAAAGAAAGCGUAAUAGCUCACUGGUCGAGUCGGCCUGCGCGGAAGAUGUAACGGGGCUAAACCAUGCACCGAAGCUGCGGCAGCGACACUGUGUGUUGUUGGGUAGGGGAGCGUUCUGUAAGCCUGUGAAGGUGUGUCGUGAGGCAUGCUGGAGGUAUCAGAAGUGCGAAUGCUGACAUAAGUAACGAUAAAGCGGGUGAAAAGCCCGCUCGCCGGAAGACCAAGGGUUCCUGUCCAACGUUAAUCGGGGCAGGGUGAGUCGACCCCUAAGGCGAGGCCGAAAGGCGUAGUCGAUGGGAAACGGGUUAAUAUUCCCGUACUUGGUGUUACUGCGAAGGGGGGACGGAGAAGGCUAUGUUGGCCGGGCGACGGUUGUCCCGGUUUAAGCGUGUAGGUGUGUGUUCCAGGUAAAUCCGGUUCACUUUAACACUGAGGCGUGACGACGAGGCACUACGGUGCUGAAGCAACAAAUGCCCUGCUUCCAGGAAAAGCCUCUAAGCAUCAGGUAACAUCAAAUCGUACCCCAAACCGACACAGGUGGUCAGGUAGAGAAUACCAAGGCGCUUGAGAGAACUCGGGUGAAGGAACUAGGCAAAAUGGUGCCGUAACUUCGGGAGAAGGCACGCUGACACGUAGGUGAAGUGAUUUACUCAUGGAGCUGAAGUCAGUCGAAGAUACCAGCUGGCUGCAACUGUUUAUUAAAAACACAGCACUGUGCAAACACGAAAGUGGACGUAUACGGUGUGACGCCUGCCCGGUGCCGGAAGGUUAAUUGAUGGGGUCAGCGCAAGCGAAGCUCCUGAUCGAAGCCCCGGUAAACGGCGGCCGUAACUAUAACGGUCCUAAGGUAGCGAAAUUCCUUGUCGGGUAAGUUCCGACCUGCACGAAUGGCGUAAUGAUGGCCAGGCUGUCUCCACCCGAGACUCAGUGAAAUUGAACUCGCUGUGAAGAUGCAGUGUACCCGCGGCAAGACGGAAAGACCCCGUGAACCUUUACUAUAGCUUGACACUGAACAUUGAGCCUUGAUGUGUAGGAUAGGUGGGAGGCUUUGAAGUGUGGACGCCAGUCUGCAUGGAGCCGACCUUGAAAUACCACCCUUUAAUGUUUGAUGUUCUAACGUGGACCCGUUACCCGGGUUGCGGACAGUGUCUGGUGGGUAGUUUGACUGGGGCGGUCUCCUCCUAAAGAGUAACGGAGGAGCACGAAGGUUGGCUAAUCCUGGUCGGACAUCAGGAGGUUAGUGCAAUGGCAUAAGCCAGCUUGACUGCGAGCGUGACGGCGCGAGCAGGUGCGAAAGCAGGUCAUAGUGAUCCGGUGGUUCUGAAUGGAAGGGCCAUCGCUCAACGGAUAAAAGGUACUCCGGGGAUAACAGGCUGAUACCGCCCAAGAGUUCAUAUCGACGGCGGUGUUUGGCACCUCGAUGUCGGCUCAUCACAUCCUGGGGCUGAAGUAGGUCCCAAGGGUAUGGCUGUUCGCCAUUUAAAGUGGUACGCGAGCUGGGUUUAGAACGUCGUGAGACAGUUCGGUCCCUAUCUGCCGUGGGCGCUGGAGAACUGAGGGGGGCUGCUCCUAGUACGAGAGGACCGGAGUGGACGCAUCACUGGUGUUCGGGUUGUCAUGCCAAUGGCACUGCCCGGUAGCUAAAUGCGGAAGAGAUAAGUGCUGAAAGCAUCUAAGCACGAAACUUGCCCCGA